CCUACGGGUGGCAGCAGUGAGGAAUAUUGGUCAAUGGGAGGAAGCCUGAACCAGCCAUGCCGCGUGCAGGACGACGGCCCUACGAGUUGUAAACUGCUUUUGUACCGGGGUAAAAUGCCGUACGUGUAGGGUUUUGAAAGUACGGUACGAAUAAGGAUCGGCUGACUCCGUGCCAGCAGCCGCGGUAAUACGGAGGAUCCGAGCGUUAUCCGGAUUCAUUGGGUUUAAAGGGAGCGUAGGUUGUUUUAUAAGUUAGCGGUGAAAUACCGAUGCUCAACAUCGGGGCUGCCGUUGAUACUGUAGGACUAGAGUGCGGAUGAAGCAGGCGGAAUGUGUAGUGUAGCGGUGAAAUGCAUAGAUAUUACGCAGAACACCGAUUGCGAAGGCAGCUUGCUGGGCCGGAUCUGACACUGAUGCACGAAAGCGUGGGGAUCGAACAGGAUUAGAUACCCUAGUAGUC
rnacentral:rRNA from 1 species